ACUCAAAUGAAUUGACGGGGGCCCGCACAAGCAGCGGAGCAUGUGGUUUAAUUCGACGCAACGCGAAGAACCUUACCUGGGCUUGACAUGUGAGCGACCGGUGCGGAAACGUACCUUCCCUUCGGGGCGCUUUCACAGGUGGUGCAUGGCUGUCGUCAGCUCGUGUCGUGAGAUGUUGGGUUAAGUCCCGCAACGAGCGCAACCCCCGUCGCAUGUUGCCAGCAUUUAGUUGGGGACUCAUGUGAGACUGCCGGUGACAAACCGGAGGAAGGUGGGGAUGACGUCAAGUCAUCAUGCCCCUUAUGUCCAGGGCUACACACGUGCUACAUUGGCGCGUACAGAGGGCUGCGAUACCGCGAGGUGGAGCGAAUCCCUUAAAGCGCGUCUCGGUUCGGAUUGCAGGCUGAAACCCGCCUGCAUGAAGGUGGAGUUGCUAGUAAUCGCGGAUCAGCAUUGCCGCGGUGAAUACGUUCCCGGGCCUUGUACACACCGCCCGU
rnacentral:rRNA from 1 species